rnacentral:tRNA from 1 species
UGGCUUAGCUGGUAAAGAAUCUGCCUGCAAUGCAGGAGACCUAGGUUCUAUCCCUGG